rnacentral:rRNA from 1 species
GACGAACGCUGGCGGCGUGCUUAACACAUGCAAGUCGAACGGAAAGGCCCUGCUUUUGUGGGGUGCUCGAGUGGCGAACGGGUGAGUAACACGUGAGUAACCUGCCCUUGACUUUGGGAUAACUUCAGGAAACUGGGGCUAAUACCGGAUAGGAGCUCCUGCUGCAUGGUGGGGGUUGGAAAGUUUCGGCGGUUGGGGAUAGACUCGCGGCUUAUCAGCUUGUUGGUGGGGUAGUGGCUUACCAAGGCUUUGACGGGUAGCAGGCCUGAGAGGGUGACCGGCCACAUUGGGACUGAGAUACGGCCCAGACUCCUACGGGAGGCAGCAGUGGGGAAUAUUGCACAAUGGGCGGACGCCUGAUGCAGCAACGCCGCGUGCGGGAUGACGGCCUUCUGGUUGUAAACCGCUUUCGCCUGUGACGAAGCGUGAGUGACGGUAAUGGGUAAAGAAGCACCGGCUAACUACGUG